rnacentral:rRNA from 1 species
CAAUUCUGGUUGAUCCUGCCAGAGAUCACCACUAUUGGGGUUCGAUUAAGCCAUGCGAGUUUUUGGCAGCAAUGCCAAGGCGAACUGCUGAGUAACACGUAGUCAACCUGCCCUUCAGUCUGGAAUAACCUCGGGAAACUGAGGAUAAUACCGGAUAGGAGAUAAUGCCCGGAAAGGUUUAUCUUCUAAAGCUUCGGCGCUGAAGGAUGGGACUGCGGUGGAUUAGGUUGAUGUUAAGGUAAUGACUUAACAUGCCUGUAAUCUAUAGGGGCUUUGAGAGAAGUAGCCUCCAGAUGGGUUCUGAGACACGACCCCAGGCCCUACGGGGCGCAGCAGGCGCGAAACCUCCACAAUGCACGCAAGUGUGAUGGGGGAACCUCAAGUGCCAGCACACUGUGUUGGCUUUUUAGGAGUUUAAAUUGCUCUUAGAAUAAGUGAUGGGUAAGACCGUUGCCAGCCGCCGCGGUAAUAACGGCGUCACAAGUGGUGGUCACGAAUAUUGUGUCUAAAGCAUCCGUAGCCGGUUUAUUAAGUCUUCUGUGAAAUCUGUCAGCAAACUGUCAGGCGUGCAGGGGAUACUGGUAGACUAGGGACCGGGAGGGGUUAGGGGUACUUCUAGGGUAGCGGUGGAAUGCUGUAAUCCUAGAGGGACCACCUGUGGCGAAGGCGCCUAACUGGAACGGAUCCGACGGUGAGGGAUGAAAGCUAGGGGAGCAAAGGGGAUUAGAUACCCCCGUAGUCCUAGCUGUAAACGAUGCCCGCUUGGUAUUGGGAACCUUACGUGGGUUUUCAGUGCCGUAGGGAAGCCGUUAAGCGGGCCACCUGGGGAGUACGGUCGCAAGGCUGAAACUUAAAGGAAUUGGCGGGGGAGCACACAAGGGGUGUAGUCUGCGGUUUACUUGGACUUAACGCCGGGAAUCUCACCAGGGGUGACAGCCCUCUGACGGUCAGUCUGAAGGGCUUACCUGAGGCGCUGAGAGGUAUUGCAUGGCCGACGUCAGCUCGUGCCGCGAGGUGUCCUGUUAAGUCAGGUAACGAGCGA